UACGGAGGGUGCGAGCGUUGUUCGGAAUCAUUGGGCGUAAAGCGCGCGCAGGCGGCCAGGGAAGUCUAGGGGUGAAAUGCCGGGGCUCAACUCCGUGCCCGCCCCAGAUACUCUUUGGCUGGAGACAGGUAGAGGCGAGCGGAAUUCCGGGUGUAGCGGUGGAAUGCGUAGAGAUCCGGAAGAACACCAGAGGCGAAGGCGGCUCGCUGGGCCUGAUCUGACGCUGAGGCGCGAAAGCGUGGGGAGCGAACAGG
rnacentral:rRNA from 1 species